ACUCCUACGGGAGGCAGCAGUGGGGAAUAUUGCACAAUGGGCGCAAGCCUGAUGCAGCAACGCCGCCUGAGGGACGACGGCCUUCGGGUUGUAAACCUCUUUUAGUAGGGAAGAAGCGAAAGUGACGGUACCUGCAGAAAAAGCACCGGCUAACUACGUGCCAGCAGCCGCGGUAAUACGUAGGGUGCAAGCGUUAUCCGGAAUUAUUGGGCGUAAAGAGCUCGUAGGCGGUCUGUCGCGUCUGCUGUGAAAACUGGGGGCUCAACCCCCAGCCUGCAGUGGGUACGGGCAGACUAGAGUGCGGUAGGGGAGAUUGGAACUCCUGGUGUAGCGGUGGAAUGCGCAGAUAUCAGGAAGAACACCGAUGGCGAAGGCAGAUCUCUGGGCCGUAACUGACGCUGAGGAGCGAAAGCAUGGGGAGCGAACAGGAUUAGAUACCCUGGUAGUCCAUGCCGUAAACGUUGGGAACUAGAUGUAGGGACCAUUCCACGGUUUCUGUGUCGCAGCUAACGCAUUAAGUUCCCCGCCUGGGGAGUACGGCCGCAAGGCUAAAACUCAAAGGAAUUGACGGGGGCCCGCACAAGCGGCGGAGCAUGCGGAUUAAUUCGAUGCAACGCGAAGAACCUUACCAAGGCUUGACAUAUACCGGAAAAGGCUGGAAACAGUCUCCCCGCAAGGUCGGUAUACAGGUGGUGCAUGGUUGUCGUCAGCUCGUGUCGUGAGAUGUUGGGUUAAGUCCCGCAACGAGCGCAACCCUCGUUCUAUGUUGCCAGCACGUAAUGGUGGGAACUCAUAGGAGACUGCCGGGGUCAACUCGGA
rnacentral:rRNA from 1 species